UCCAUUCACACUAGCACAUCAUGGGUUUUAGGCAGUUGUCAGGUAAUGGAGAAGGUUAUUUAGAGGUUAGGAAAGGUGAUCACGAUAUAAUUAUAUGAAAAGCAGCUGGUUUGAAAAAUAUUUCAUUUUGGCUUAUAUGCAUACUAACAUGUAUACUUACACGUGUAUACACAGAUCAGACAGGAAGAUCAGAAGUUUAGUAAAAUAUUAAACAUCUCGGUCACUUUGGGGGCUUUGCAGCUAUUAACUCAUUUAAUGUUAACCUAAUGAAGUAGGAUAUUUCCAACUUCACAGAUAGGAAACGGGCACAGAAGUGACUAGUCUGAAGUCAUACACAUUAUAAACUGCAGAGCAGGGAUACAUACUCUUGCAAGUCUAGCUCCCGUACACACGUUCUUAACCAGAAGCUGAUAUAUAGUUUGAGAAGACUUGUCCUCUUUGUAUAUCUGUAUUUUCUACAUAAACAGGUAUUUUUUAAUCAGAAAAAUAACCAACUUUGUUUUUAACAUGAUAGAAGAUGUUAAAACUACAAUUACUCUAGAAGUAAUAAAAAGGAAGACAAGGGCAGGAGUUGUCAUAACCUCAGUCUAGAAAACUUCAUAUUCAAAAACACUAGACACCAUGGUAUAAAGUGUCAGAUAUUCAGGCAUAUUUUGUUCCAGCUCCUUUCCCAUUCACUCUCAAAAACUAGCAACAUGUUUUCCUAGGCAAGGCUGGAGCUGGAUAUCCAAUGGGCAGCAGGGCAGUGUGAUCAUUUUAUGACCAGAUUGACCUGGGUUUGAAUCCUCUGCUCUUUGCCAGCCACUUUACCUUGUACAAGUUUCUCAGCCUUACUGAAUCUCAGAUUCUGCAUCCAUAAGAACAAGGAUGCUGCCUCCUACCUUGCAGGGUUGUUUCUCAAGCCACAGAAAUUAAUGUUUAUAAAAGCUGCUGGCAUGUUAGAGACACAAUAAAUGGUAGUUAUAACUAUGAUGAAACUUCAAACAACUUCUUAAGAAAAUUAUACACACCCCCAUUCUAAACUGGGGGUCACCUAUUCACAGCUACAUUCAUGGAGAAUGGCCUUUGGCAAGUACAAACAGCUUCCCCCAGCCUUGCUGCUAAAGGUUCUAUUAAUGAACAACUCACAACGUGGAUUCAAGAACCAGGGAGGGUCUAGUUGCUUAAGGGAGCUAGGUAGAGGGAGAAAGGUUUAAUUCCAAAUUCAGUUAGUUUUCAGCUGCUGAUUGCCCAUCCUGUAAACAGAGUAUAGGCCUAAAGCUAAAUAGGGUGUGGGUGCCUGGUUCAGUAAACUCUGACUUACACCAUCUCUAAGGGAGCUCUCCUUCCCCCAAUAAGAAGAAAUAGAAGUUUAAAGGGGAAAAGCAAUAGCCUGGUGGACAUACAAAACUUAAUUCUACAUCUAGUUGUAAUCACUGAGGGAGACAAUUCUGGUUUUUGGCCAACACAACCACUGUGCUGUGUGACUUGAAGCAUUUGCCCCCUUCGGGCUUCUGUUCCAUGAGAAGGUUGGGUUUGAAUGUUCCUGAGUCCUCUUCAGGCUUGUCAUAUGACACACAGGUGAGUUGAUCCAGGAAGGCAUCAUUGUCAGUUUCAUUAGACGUUUCCAGCUCCAGCUUGUUAAUCCACACAGCCAACUCUUAAUCCCCAAACAUUCCACCACCACCAUCACAAAACCUUUUUCUUGGAUGCAGAUCACUUCAGGGUGGGACUGGGCAACUUCAAGACUGCUCGAAUCCUGGUUUCUAGAACUUGCGAUAUUUUCAUGUCCCUUUCCCCUACCUCCAUUUCAAAAAAGUAAGGCCUAUCACCAGGAAAAUGCUCAAGAGCCUUCUAGACAAACUCAACCCCACUUGAAAGAAAAAUCAGAUCACUUUGAAGACACUGCUACAGAGCAGAGGUGAAUGUGAUAAAGUAUCUCUAAAAAGAGAAAAAGACUCCAGCGUGGGCAAUAGAGCAAGGUCCCUUCUCUACAAAAAACUUUUUACAAAAUAGCUGGGUGUGGUGGCACAUGUCUUUAGUCCCAGCUACUUGGGAAGCUGCGGCAGGAGGAUCACUUGAGCCCAGGAGUUCCAGGCUGCAGUGAGCCAAGACUGCCCCCAGCUUCCCCCGCACUCCAGCCUGAGAAACAGAGCAAGACCCCAUCUCAAAAAAAAAAAAAAAAAAAAA
rnacentral:lncRNA from 1 species